GCUGGGCAUAGUGGCACACACCUGUAAUCCCAGCAGUCGGGAGGCUGAGGCAGGAGGAUCACAAGUUCGAAGCCAGCCUCAGCAACUUAGCGAGGCCCUAGACAACUCAGUGAGACCCUGUCUCUA
rnacentral:sRNA from 1 species